rnacentral:rRNA from 1 species
AUUGAACGCUGGCGGCAUGCUUUACACAUGCAAGUCGAACGCGAAAGGGGGCAACUCCUGAGUAGAGUGGCGCACGGGUGAGUAAUACAUCGGAACGUGUCCUGUAAUGGGGGAUAACGCAGCGAAAGCUGUGCUAAUACCGCAUACGUCCUACGGGAGAAAGUGGGGGACCGCAGGGCCUCACGCUAUAGGAGCGGCCGAUGCCGGAUUAGCUAGUUGGUGGGGUAAAGGCUCACCAAGGCAACGAUCCGUAGCUGGUCUGAGAGGAUGAUCAGCCACACUGGAACUGAGACACGGUCCAGACUCCUACGGGAGGCAGCAGUGGGGAAUAUUGGACAAUGGGGGCAACCCUGAUCCAGCCAUGCCGCGUGUGUGAAGAAGGCCUCGGUUGUAAG